UACGUAGGGUGCGAGCGUUGUCCGGAUUUAUUGGGCGUAAAGAGCUCGUAGGCGGUUUGUCGCGUCGGCCGUGAGAACCUGCAGCUUAACUGUGGGCUUGCGGUCGAUACGGGCAGACUUGAGUUCGGUAGGGGAGACUGGAAUUCCUGGUGUAGCGGUGAAAUGCGCAGAUAUCAGGAGGAACACCAGUGGCGAAGGCGGGUCUCUGGGCCGAUACUGACGCUGAGGAGCGAAAGCGUGGGGAGCGAACAGG
rnacentral:rRNA from 1 species